GACGAACGCUGGCGGCGUGCCUAAUACAUGCAAGUCGAGCGAACCAAUAGGAGCUUGCUCCUGUUGGUUAGCGGCGGACGGGUGAGUAACACGUGGGCAACCUGCCUGUAAGACUGGGAUAACACCGGGAAACCGGUGCUAAUACCGGAUAAUCUUUUUCCUCUCAUGAGGAAAAAAUGAAGGUCGGUUUCGGCUGACACUUACAGAUGGGCCCGCGGCGCAUUAGCUAGUUGGUGAGGUAACGGCUCACCAAGGCGACGAUGCGUAGCCGACCUGAGAGGGUGAUCGGCCACACUGGGACUGAGACACGGCCCAGACUCCUACGGGAGGCAGCAGUAGGGAAUCUUCCACAAUGGACGAAAGUCUGAUGGAGCAACGCCGCGUGAGCGAUGAAGGCCUUCGGGUCGUAAAGCUCUGUUGUUAGGGAAGAACAAGUACCGGAGUAACUGCCGGUGCCUUGACGGUACCUAACCAGAAAGCCACGGCUAACUACGUGCCAGCCGCCGCAGUAA
rnacentral:rRNA from 1 species